rnacentral:rRNA from 1 species
CAAGAGCGUAUGUAAAAGUUGUUGCAGUUAAAAAGCUCGUAGUUGAACCUUGGGUUCGGUUGGCCGGUCCGCUUUUUUGCGAGUACUGGAUUCAACCGAGCCUUUCCUUCUGGCUAACCAGUCGUUUCGGCGGCUGGCGAACCAGGAUUUUUACUUUGAGAAAAUUAGAGUGUUCAAAGCAGGCAUUAGCUUGAAUAUAUUAGCAUGGAAUAAUAGAAUAGGACGUUAUGGUUCUAUUUUGUUGGUUUCUAGGACCAUCGUAAUGAUUAAUAGGGACGGUCGGGGGCAUCAGUAUUCAGUUGUCAGAGGUGAAAUUCUUGGAUUUACUGAAGACUAACUACUGCGAAAGCAUUUGCCAAGGACGUUUUCAUUAA